GAUGAACGCUGGCGGCGUGCCUAACACAUGCAAGUCGAGCGAACAGACGCGGAGCUUGCUCCUCUGACGUUAGAGGCGGACGGGUGAGUAACAAGUGGACAACCUACCUAUAAGACUGGGAUCACUUCGGGAAACAGGAGCUCAUACCGGAUAAUAUAUUGAACCGCAUGGUUCAAUAGUGAAAGACGGUUUUGCUGUCACUUAUAGAUGGAUCCGCGCCGCAUUAGCUAGUUGGUAAGGUAACGGCUUACCAAGGCGACGAUGCGUAGCCGACCUGAGAGGGUGAUCGGCCACACUGGAACUGAGACACGGCCCAGACUCCUACGGGAGGCAGCAGUGGGGAAUCUUCGGCAAUGGGCGAAAGCCUGACGGAGCAACGCCGCGUGAGUGAUGAAGGUCUUCGGAUCGUAAAACUCUGUUAUUAGGGAAGAACAAAUUUGUAAGUAACUAUGCACGUCUUGACGGUACCUAAUCAGAAAGCCACGGCUAACUACGUG
rnacentral:rRNA from 1 species